rnacentral:rRNA from 1 species
UACGGAGGGGGCUAGCGUUGUUCGGAAUUACUGGGCGUAAAGAGCGCGCAGGCGGUCGUUCAAGUCGCGUGUGAAAGCCCCCGGCUCAACUGGGGAGGGUCACGCGAUACUGAUCGACUCGAAGGCAGGAGAGGGUAGUGGAAUUCCCGGUGUAGUGGUGAAAUGCGUAGAUAUCGGGAGGAACACCAGUGGCGAAGGCGGCUGCCUGGCCUGUUCUUGACGCUGAGGCGCGAAAGCUGGGGGAGCAAACGGG